rnacentral:rRNA from 1 species
UUGAACGCUGGCGGCAGGCCUAACACAUGCAAGUCGAAUGGUAACAGGAAACAGCUUGCUGUUUCGCUGACGAGUGGCGGACGGGUGAGUAAUGUCUGGGAAAUUGCCUGAUGGAGGGGGAUAACUACUGGAAACGGUAGCUAAUACCGCAUAACGUCGCAAGACCAAAGAGGGGGACCUUCGGGCCUCUUGCCAUCAGAUGUGCCCAGAUGGGAUUAGCUAGUAGGUGGGGUAACGGCUCACCUAGGCGACGAUCCCUAGCUGGUCUGAGAGGAUGACCAGCCACACUGGAACUGAGACACGGUCCAGACUCCUACGGGAGGCAGCAGUGGGGAAUAUUGCACAAUGGGCGCAAGCCUGAUGCAGCCAUGCCGCGUGGAUGAAGAAGGCCUUCGGGUUGUAAAGUACUUUCAGCGGGGAGGAAGGGAGUAAAGUUAAUACCUUUGCUCAUUGACGUUACCCGCAGAAGAAGCACCGGCUAACUCCGU